rnacentral:rRNA from 1 species
CCUACGGGUGGCAGCAGUGAGGAAUAUUGGUCAAUGGGAGGAAUCCUGAACCAGCCAUGCCGCGUGCAGGACGACGGCUCUACGAGUUGUAAACUGCUUUUGUACCGGGGUAAAAUGCUCUACGAGUAGGGUUUUGAAGGUACGGUACGAAUAAGCAUCGGCUAACUCCGUGCCAGCAGCCGCGGUAAUACGGAGGAUCCGAGCGUUAUCCGGAUUUAUUGGGUUUAAAGGGUGCGUAGGCGGGUUUUUAAGUUCGCGGUGAAAUCCCGAUGCCCAACAGCGGGGGGGCCGGUGAUACUGUCGGACUAGAGGUGGGAUGAAGCAGGCGGAAUGUGUAGUGUAGCGGUGAAAUGCAUAGAUAUUACACAGAACACCGAUUGCGAAGGCAGCUUGCUAGGCGGGAUCUGACACUGAUGCACGAAAGCGUGGGGAUCGAACAGGAUUAGAUACCCCAGUAGUC